rnacentral:rRNA from 1 species
AUUGAACGCUGGCGGCAUGCUUUACACAUGCAAGUCGAACGGCAGCAUAGGUGCUUGCACCUGAUGGCGAGUGGCGAACGGGUGAGUAAUACAUCGGAACGUGCCCAGUCGUGGGGGAUAACGUAGCGAAAGUUACGCUAAUACCGCAUACGAUCUAAGGAUGAAAGCGGGGGACCGUAAGGCCUCGCGCGAUUGGAGCGGCCGAUGUCAGAUUAGGUAGUUGGUGAGGUAAAGGCUCACCAAGCCGACGAUCUGUAGCUGGUCUGAGAGGACGACCAGCCACACUGGGACUGAGACACGGCCCAGACUCCUACGGGAGGCAGCAGUGGGGAAUUUUGGACAAUGGACGCAAGUCUGAUCCAGCCAUUCCGCGUGCAGGACGAAGGCCUUCGGGUUGUAAACUGCUUUUGUACGGAACGAAAAAGCUCUUACUAAUACUAGGAGUCCAUGACGGUGCCGUAAGAAUAAGCACCGGCUAACUACGUGCCAGCCGCCGCCGUAA